rnacentral:piRNA from 1 species
UCAACAGGUUGGAGAAUGUCCCUUCCAGUU